GGGGUGCUCGAGUGGCGAACGGGUGAGUAACACGUGAGUAACCUGCCCUUGACUUUGGGAUAACUUCAGGAAACUGGGGCUAAUACCGGAUAGGAGCUCCUGCUGCAUGGUGGGGGUUGGAAGGUUUCGGCGGUUUGGGAUGGACUCGCGGCUUAUCAGCUUGUUGGUGGGGUAGUGGCUUACCAAGGCUUUGACGGGUAGCCGGCCUGAGAGGGUGACCGGCCACAUUGGGACUGAGAUACGGCCCAG
rnacentral:rRNA from 1 species